rnacentral:rRNA from 1 species
GGGUAACCUGCCCUAUGCUGGAUAAUAACCUCGGGAAACUGAGAAUAAUGAUCCAUAGUUCACUACGCCUGGAACGGUGAGUGGAUGAAAGCUCCAGCGGCAUAGGAUGGGCCUGCGGCGUAUCAGGUUGUAGGGGGUGUAACGUACCCUCUAGCCCUCUACGCGUACGGGUGUUGGGAGACAUAGCCCGGAGAUGGAUUCUGAGACACGAAUCCAGACCCUACGGGGUGCAGCAGGCGCGAAAACUUGGCAAUGCGAGAAAUCGUGACCAGGGAACUCCAAGUGCAUCGGGUAAGACUGGUGCUUUUCUUGACUCUAAAUAGGUCUUGGAAUAAGGGGUGGGUAAGGACGGUGCCAGCCGCCGCGGUAAUACCGGCGCCUCAAGUGGUAGUCGCUUUUAUUGGGCCUAAAACGUCCGUAGCCGGUCUGAUACAUUCGUGGGUAAAUCAACCAGCUCAACUGGUUGAAUUCUGCGAGGACGGUCAGACUUGGGACCGGGAGAGGUGUGGGGUACGCUCAGGGUAGGGGUAAAAUCCUGUCAUCCUGAGCGGACCACCUGUUGCGAAGGCGCCACACUAGAACGGAUCCGACGGUCAGGGACGAAGCCUAGGGGCACGAACCGGAUUAGAUACCCGGGUAGUCCUAGGUGUAAACGCUGUGGACUUGAUGUUGGGGGUGCUCCGAGCACUCUCAGUGUC